rnacentral:misc_RNA from 1 species
GACACGAGGGAGAGGCAGCAGUGGGACUCCUACGGGAGGCAGCAGUGGGACUCUCANGGGAGGCAGCAGAAGAGACUCCUACGGGAGGCAGCAGUGGGACUCCUACGGGAGGCAGCAGUGGGACUCCUACGGGAGGCAGCAGUGGGGCAGUUGGCUCAGAACGAACGCUGGCGGCUGGCCCAGAACGAACGCUGGCGGCUGGCUCAGAACGAACGCUGGCGGCAGCAUUGGGACUCCUACAGGAGGCAGCAUUGGGACUCCUACAGGAGGCAGCAUUGGGACUCCUACAGGAGGCAGCCAUGGGACAGUUAGCUCACAACGAACGCUGGCCGCC